rnacentral:lncRNA from 1 species
AACUAAUACUAAUUAAAUUAGGUAAGUGUGUAAAACUAUUUUUUUACUAGGAUUUCUGAUGCACUGGUUAAAAACACAGCAGCGGAUAAUUCAGUUAAUUUACCAAGUGAUUUAUCCUUCAAAGCUGCAGGGGCAGCUUUCCUGAAGAGUGCAAAAACUUUUUUAGCUUCCAAAAUGGUAUAUAGUACAAACAGUGAAGCUAAUAUAGAUAAAUCUGAUCAUUCAUCAUCAACAAUAACUGCAUCUGAGAUUAAUAGUUCUACAGUAAUCGUGGGGUCUAGGUCAACAAUUACUAUUUCUCAUCCAAGCCGUUUUUGUUUAACUGGUACACAUUCCCUGACUCUGCCAAGGAAAAGGGUAAAAUCAAAAUGAUAUCCUGAGGACCUAAGCACUGAUGAUUCCACCGUUUUAAAAGCUAAAUCACUUGUCACCAAAUUAUAGAAAAAAAAAAUAAAGAAAAUUAAAAUUCGAGGAUUGCAACAAACAAAUUUGCGCCAAAGAAAUUGAAUUAGAUCUCAAGUCAUUAUUAAAAUACUUAAGAAAUAAUAACAUGAUUUUCGAAAAAGCCCAACAUACUACAUAUUUUAUUUGACUUGUAAAAGUACUUGUUUGUA